UACGAAGGGGGCUAGCGUUGUUCGGAAUUACUGGGCGUAAAGCGCACGUAGGCGGAUUGCUAAGUCAGGGGUGAAAGCCUGUGGCUCAACCACAGAAUUGCCUUCGAUACUGUAGAGCUUGAGACCGGAAGAGGUAAGUGGAACUGCGAGUGUAGAGGUGAAAUUCGUAGAUAUUCGCAAGAACACCAGUGGCGAAGGCGGCUUACUGGUCCGGUUCUGACGCUGAGGCGCGAAAGCGUGGGGAGCAAACAGG
rnacentral:rRNA from 1 species